AUGGAUGAAGACGGGCUGGGAAAACCUCUGCUUGGACUUGAGAGUCUCAGCACCCAAGACAUUGAUCUGGGGAAUCUGGCCCUCGAAGAAGUUUUUGAGCAGCUGAGCACGUCUCGAUGUGGUCUCUCCUCGGCGGAUGCCGCGGAGCGGUUGCAGCUGUUCGGCGCAAACCGACUGGAGGAGAAGCGCGAGAACAAGGUCCUCAAGUUCAUCAGCUUCAUGUGGAACCCUCUGUCCUGGGUGAUGGAGGCAGCGGCCAUCAUGGCAUUAGUCUUGGCAAAUGGGGGUAGUCAGGGUCCUGACUGGGAGGACUUCGUGGGAAUCGUCUGCCUUCUCAUCAUCAACUCGACAAUCAGCUUCAUCGAGGAGAACAAUGCCGGCAAUGCCGCGGCUUCGCUCAUGGCCCGCUUGGCGCCUAGAACAAAGGUUCUUAGAGAUGGGCAAUGGCAAGAGCUGGAUGCCUCUGUACUGGUACCGGGGGACAUCAUCAGCAUCAGGCUUGGUGACAUUGUCCCUGCCGAUGCGCGGCUACUCGAGGGGGAUCCUCUCAAAAUUGAUCAGUCAGCUCUCACUGGAGAAUCACUUCCUGUAACUAAAAGGACCGGUGACCUAGUGUUCACUGGUUCAACUUGCAAGCAUGGUGAGAUUGAAGCUGUCGUCAUCGCCACCGGGAUCCGCUCAUUCUUCGGGAAGGCGGCCCAUUUGGUGGACACCACAGAGGUUGUAGGCCAUUUCCAGAAGGUUCUUACCUGCAUAGGCAACUUCUGUAUCUGCUCAAUUGCGGUGGGGGUGAUCGUUGAGGUUAUCGUCAUGUUCACGGUCCAGCACCGGUCAUACCGGGAGGGGAUCAACAAUGUGCUUGUUCUUCUGAUAGGAGGGAUACCGAUCGCGAUGCCAACGGUUUUGUCGGUCACGCUCGCAAUAGGUUCUCAUCGCCUAUCUCAGCAGGGUGCCAUCACCAAAAGAAUGACGGCCAUUGAGGAAAUGGCCGGAAUGGAUGUUCUCUGCUGCGACAAAACCGGAACCCUCACUCUCAACCAUCUUACCGUUGACAAAGACCUAAUCGAGGUUUUCAGCGGAGGAAUGGACAGGGACAUGAUAAUCCUGUUGGCUGCAAGAGCAUCAAGAGUGGAUAACCAAGAUGCAAUCGACAUGGCCAUCAUAAAUAUGCUCUCUGAUCCCAAAGAGGCGCGCGCAAACAUCACCGAGGUUCACUUUCUCCCGUUCAAUCCGGUCGACAAGCGGACGGCCAUAACAUACAUUGAUUCUGGCGGCAAUUGGUUCCGGGUCAGCAAAGGUGCUCCUGAGCAGAUCCUCAACCUGUGCUACAACAAGGACGACAUCGCCGAGAAGGCGCAGCGGGUCGUCGACAGCUUCGCCGAGAGGGGCCUCCGUUCACUAGCAGUUGCUUACCAGGAGGUCCCGGAGAGAUCGAGGGACGGCGACGGCGGGCCGUGGGUGUUCUGCGGCGUGCUGCCGCUGUUCGACCCGCCGCGGCACGACAGCGCCGACACCAUCCGCAGGGCCCUGGACCUGGGCGUGUGCGUGAAGAUGAUCACCGGCGACCACCUGGCGAUCGCCAAGGAGACCGGCCGGCGGCUCGGGACGGGGACCAACAUGCACCAUUCGGCGGCGCUGUUCGGCCGCCGCGGCGGCGAUGGUGGCGACGAGGGGGCGGCGAUGCCGGUGGAGGAGCUGGUGGAGAGCGCGGACGGGUUCGCGGGCGUGUUCCCGGAGCACAAGCACGAGAUCGUGCGGCUCCUGCAGGCCAAGGGGCACGUGUGCGGGAUGACGGGCGACGGCGUGAACGACGCGCCGGCGCUGAAGAAGGCGGACAUCGGCAUCGCGGUGUCGGACGCGACGGACGCCGCCCGGGCCGCCGCCGACAUCGUGCUGACGGAGCCCGGCCUCGGCGUCAUCGUCUGCGCCGUCCUCACCAGCCGCGCCAUCUUCCAGCGCAUGAAGAACUACACGAUUUAUGCCGUGUGCAUCACCAUACGAAUCGUGGUUGGGUUUGUUCUUCUGGCGUCGAUAUGGGAGUACGACUUCCCGCCAUUCAUGGUGCUCAUCAUAGCCAUACUCAACGACGGGACGAUCAUGGCGAUAUCCAAGGACCGGGUGAAGCCGUCGCGGAGCCCGGACAGCUGGAAGCUCAACGAGAUAUUCGCCACCGGGGUCGUCAUCGGCACCUACCUCGCGCUCGUCACGGUGCUCUUCUACUGGGCGCUCACCAGAACCACAUUCUUCGAGUCUCACUUCGGGGUGCGGUCUCUGAAGGGCGACGCCGAGGAGGUGUCGUCGGCGGUGUACCUGCAGGUGAGCAUCACCAGCCAGGCCCUGAUAUUCGUGACCCGCAGCCGGGGCCUCUCCUUCCUCGACCGGCCGGGGGCGCUGCUCGUCUGCGCCUUCGCCGCCGCGCAGCUGGUGGCGACCCUGGUGGCGGUGUACGCGGCCGUCGGCUUCGCGUCGAUCAGCGGCGUCGGGUGGCGGUGGGCCGGCGUCAUCUGGCUCUACAGCCUGGCGUCCUACCUCCCGCUCGACCUCAUCAAGGUCGCCGUCCGCUACGCCCUCAGCGGCGACGCCUGGAGCCUGCUGUUCGACCGGAAGGCUGCGUUUGCAAGGAGGAGGAGAGACUACUACGGCGAGGAGGGCCGGCGGGGGGCGGCGCUGUCGGCGCGGCGGGCGCUCUCUGACCAUCUCCUCAGCAGCCGGACGCCGCGCUCUGCCACCGCGGAGCAGGCGAGGCGGCGCGCCGAGAUCACAAGGCUGGGAGAAACGCACUCGCCAAGGGCGCACCUCCAGUCUGUGAUGAAGCUCAAGCGCGCCCGGUCGGCUCACUCCGUUUGA
rnacentral:rRNA from 1 species